GCGCGUCUCCUUGGGCGGUGCUGCCCGCGGCGCGGCGUGUGCACCGAGCGAGUGAAGGUAUGUGCGGCGGGCGCGGCUGGAGCUGCAGCCGCCGCGCAGGCAGGUCCUAAUGCCUGUCACUUCCCAGGACAUUGGCAGCGGCAGCAGGGAGCCCCCGAGCCCUGGGCAGGUUUGCUUGUCCUUCCCCGCGAUCUGAUUGGAUAAAGUGGGGGUUCGACGGUGGCCGACGCGGGACAGUCUGGCUGUGGCAAGGGUCUCUGAAACCAUGGGUUAUUGCAGUGGCAGGUGCACGCUUAUCUUUAUCUGUGGCAUGCAACUGGUUUGUGUGCUGGAGAGGCAAAUAUUUGAUUUCCUUGGAUAUCAGUGGGCACCUAUCCUGGCGAAUUUUGUACAUAUUAUCAUCGUCAUCCUUGGUUUGUUUGGAACUAUUCAAUAUAGACCUCGCUAUGUAACAGGAUAUGCUGUCUGGCUAGUCCUCUGGGUGACAUGGAAUGUGUUUGUUAUCUGCUUCUAUUUGGAGGCUGGGGAUCUCUCAAAGGAGACAGACCUUAUCCUGACAUUUAAUAUUUCAAUGCACCGGUCUUGGUGGAUGGAGAAUGGACCAGGAUGUAUGGUGACAUCUGUGACACCCGCCCCGGACUGGGCUCCAGAAGACCAUCGGUACAUCACUGUCUCAGGGUGUUUUCUGGAGUACCAAUACAUAGAAGUGGCUCACAGUUCCCUCCAGAUUGUCCUCGCACUGGCGGGCUUCAUCUAUGCCUGUUAUGUUGUGAAAUGUAUAACUGAAGAAGAGGACAGCUUUGAUUUCAUAGGUGGCUUUGAUUCUUAUGGGUAUCAAGGGCCUCAGAAGACUUCUCACUUACAACUGCAACCAAUGUACAUGCAAAUUCCCUUGGAUAACAACUGAUAGCAAAUUCUAUAUCUCAGCAUCAAGUGAUAUGCUGAAUUGCAAGAGAAGAUCAAAAUAGAAAGUCAAAAUAACACAGAUGACUUCUGUCUGUCAGCCCAUGGACUUCUCAAAUGACUUGUGCAGUGGCCUCCUGCUUUUUAUGAAGAAUGAGAAGCAAAUGAAUUUAAAUACGCAUACAUGUUAUCAGACCAAACAGGAAGUUUCUACAUAGACACAUG